rnacentral:rRNA from 1 species
AUUGAACGCUGGCGGCAGGCUUAACACAUGCAAGUCGAACGAGUGGCGGACGGGUGAGUAAUGCUUGGGAAUCUAGCUUAUGGAGGGGGAUAACUACGGGAAACUGUAGCUAAUACCGCGUACCAUAGGCUGAGCCCAAGUGGGAUGAGGUAGUUGGUGGGGUAAAGGCUCACCAAGCCGACGAUCUCUAGCUGGUCUGAGAGGCUGACCAGCAACACUGGGACUGAGACACGGCCCAGACUCCUACGGGAGGCAGCAGUGGGGAAUAUUGCGCAAUGGGGGAAAGCUGACGCAGCCAGGCCGCGUGAAUGAAGAAGGCCUUCGGGUUGUAAAGUUCUUUCAGUAGCGAGGCGUUAACUACAGAAGAAGCAACGGCUAACUACGUGCCAGCAGCCGCGGUAAUAC